ACGACCUUACUUGAACAGGAUCUGUUCUAUUGGUUCGUACCACUGUAUCCUUGAUUUCAAAGGAGACACGGAGUCCAAGUCUGGUGGAUGAAUCGUGGCCAUUUGACCAGAGCGUGGUUACCAGCAUUCAUGAUUUCAAAUCUUUUUUUUUCCCAUGUCUUAAUUUUCUCAAUUGAGAACUCUUUCCAUGGCUGUUGGGGACAGAGC